rnacentral:rRNA from 1 species
GCUCCAGUAGCGUAUAUUAAAGUGUGCAGUUAAAAGCUCGUAGUUGGAUCUCGGGCUCGCCGGCCGCGCGGUCUCGCAGGUCAUCUAGGCACUGUCCGCCUGCGGUGCACUGCCGUCGGCGCCCAACCGGCGGGGGGACCGGCCCUGAACCAGCCGCUGUCCUGGCCCUCAAAAGCCAGCCGCGGGUGCCCUUAACUGGAGCUGCCCGAGGCACCCGCCCGUUUUACUUUGAAAAAAUUAGAGUGUUCAAGGCAGGCUUCAGACGGCCUGAAUAAUGGUGCAUGGAAUAAUGGAAUAGGAUCUCGGUUCUAUUUUGUUGGUUUUCGGAACUCGAGAUAAUGAUUAAGAGGGACAGACGGGGGCAUCCGUACUGCGGCGUUAGAGGUGAAAUUCUUGGAUCGCCGCAAGACGAACUACUGCGAAAGCAUUUGCCAAGAAUGUUUUCGUUAAUCAAGAACGAAAGUCAGAGGUUCGAAGACGAUCAGAUACCGUCCUAGUUCUGACCAUAAACGAUGCCGACUAGCGAUCCGCCGGAGUUGUACCUAUGACCCGGCGGGCAGCUUCCGGGAAACCAAAGUCUUUGGGUUCCGGGGGAAGUAUGGUUGCAAAGCUGAAACUUAAAGGAAUUGACGGAAGGGCACCACCAGGAGUGGAGCCUGCGGCUUAAUUUGACUCAACACGGGGAAACUCACCCGGCCCGGACACCGUGAGGAUUGACAGAUUGAGAGCUCUUUCUUGAUUCGGUGGGUGGUGGUGCAUGGCCGUUCUUAGUUGGUGGAGCGAUUUGUCUGGUUAAUUCCGAUAACGAACGAGACUCUAGCCUAUUAACUAGCUCGUCGUAGGUGAAUCUUAACGGCGAUAACAGAAGCUUCUUAGAGGGACAAGCGGCGCUUAGCCGCACGAGAUUGAGCAAUAACAGGUCUGUGAUGCCCUUAGAUGUUCGGGGCCGCACGCGCGCUACACUGAAGGUGUCAGAGGGUCGAGUCCUAGUCUGACAAGG